UGGGGAAUUUUGCACAAUGGGGGAAACCCUGAUGCAGCGACGCCGCGUGAUUUAGAAGGCCUUCGGGUUGUAAAAAUCUUUUUUACGGGAUGAAAAUGACAGUACCGUAAGAAUAAGGUCCGGCUAAAUACGUGCCAGCAGCCGCGGUAAUACGUAUGGACCGAGCGUUGUCCGGAAUCAUUGGGCGUAAAGGGUACGCAGGCGGUUUAAUAAGUCGAAUGUUAAAGAUCGGGGCUCAACCCCGUAAAGCAUUGGAAACUGAUAAACUUGAGUAGUGGAGAGGAAAGUGGAAUUCCUAGUGUAGUGGUGAAAUACGUAGAUAUUAGGAGGAAUACCAGUAGCGAAGGCGACUUUCUGGACACAAACUGACGCUGAGGUACGAAAGCGUGGGGAGCAAACAGG
rnacentral:rRNA from 1 species